rnacentral:lncRNA from 1 species
ACUAGAAGUUUGAAAGAAACUGGCAAUUUGAUAUAAAAUAAUAUUUUUUUAGAUCAAUGGAAGAAAUUUUAAUGCUCUAAGGAAUUAGACAAAAAUUUGAAUACUGUCUGUUAAGAAGAUGAUAUGAUACCAAAUCUGAUAUAGGCAAGCAAGGCAAACCUACACAAGAAUAUGGGAUCCACGGAAGCAAACCUGAAGAUGGAUUAACCAAUGAUCUCAUCAUGUCAACUUCUUGAAAGUUUUCAAUAUCUCAUUUCCAACCUUUUUUGGAGAACGCUCUCACGGCCGGAAUCGCGAUCUCAC